rnacentral:tRNA from 1 species
ACUUGAAUAGUUUAUAUAAAAUAAUGGCUUGUGGUGCCAUAGAAAUAGUAAUAUUUUAAGUA